rnacentral:lncRNA from 1 species
UAGAAGAAUUUUAAACUAGUACGUAUACUCCUGUUAAAUAGAAAUGGGAUUCAUUGUAUUAUGUGCUUGCUUUUUUUUAAAUCAAUAGAAUAAGAUUCAAUGCAUAUUUAUGUUAUAUAUUUUCCACUAUUCAGGUAUCAUGAAAUCACUCCAGAGAUGAUCAAUCAACAUCAUAUUUAUACUUUUGGUUAAUUAUAUACUACUCAGGGAAAAAAUGAACAAAAAUAAUUAUUCAUCCUUCAAUUUCAUUUUCUUGAAACAGAGUUCGUUUAAUUUGGUAUGCCUCAGCUGUCACCAUUUUAUAAGUGGCUUGUUCUGUUUUUAAAAUAAGUAUUUUUAUUGGAACUCAGGGUAAUUGGGGGAAUUUAUUUAGCUUCAAUAUCCAGCAGGGUAGAGAAGAUUUAUUUGGCUUCACAAAUGUCUGGUGACCCCUUCUUUUAUUAGCCACUACUGCCCAUUUGAUUCAAAAAUAAAUUUAUUGGUCUCCACCAUGUGUGACACACACAGGAUUUCCAAACAUACCACUUUUAAGAAAAAUGUGCAGUAGAAAGGAGGUUUCUAGAAAGUGACAGUAACUCACAUUUAAGCACUACCUGACCUGGGAGGGGACCUGGAUUUUCAUUCUGGUUCUGCCUUUCAUGAGACUUAAGACUUGGAGGAGCCACCUGUCCUGUAAACCCCAAGUUCCUCAGCCAUAAGCAAGUGGGGUCAUCCUAAGAGUUCAGGACCAGUUGGGUGUCAUGAAUGGAGCCAUUAGCAAGGUCUGUAGGAUUCAAGGAGUUGGGCAAAUUCACAGUCCACUCUAUUGUCAUGGUUACUGACUUGUACUCCUUGAGCUCAAAGCCCUGACAUUUCAAAAGGUUGUCAUGAUAACAGUGAAACCUCUGAAUCCCUUAAAUCAGAAGGCGUGGCAAAUACUUUUUCUACUGGCAAUAGCUCUUACAAUGAGUGUUUCAUAAUGAAAUGUCUCUGCUGAAGAAAACAUGUUUUCCUUUUGCUUUCUCUGCUUUGUUGGUUUCUGUGUGUGCUGUGUAACACUGGAGAAGAUACAUGCUCUGGAAUAUUUUAUACAGAUUACUGACUACUGGACAGCGUUUAACACUGCACAACAUCUCAAAGUUAUUCAAGGAUAUUUAAAGCAUAUUUACUUUAGUUACACCUUAUUUUAAACUCCAGAAAACAAUAGCUUUAAAAUUUUUGACAUUAAAAUAAUUAUAAAUGUAUACUUUUACUCGAGGACUAGAUCACAAUUUUAGGGCAAAAAUCUUUCCUAUUUAAAAUUAAUGCCUUGUAAAUAUUUAGUUUAUAUAUUCAUGAACAAAUCUGGACAUUUAUACUUUUUUUUGUUUCCUUAUCAACUGUUCACAAUUAUUACUUAAUUGGUUUUAACAGUUCUACAUUAUAAUUGAAAGAAAAACUACUUGAGCGACUGAUUGUUUCAGAAUAGUGCCUACUAUUUCUGUGUCAGCUAAAAAUUUGUCCAGAGUUUUAGAUAUAAGCUAGUAUUUUGUGGAGUUUUAUCCAGGCAUGAAUAGUUCUUCCUGGCUGAAACUUAAUACAUCAGAUUUAAUAUAGGUGCAGAAUCCUAAAUAACACUGUGAGAUGUAAUCUUAACUGCCCUCCAUACCUUAUAAAACUGCUGCACUUAACCCAGUGUGCAUUUAAUGAGUGGCUGGUCAUUGAUACACUCAUCUUAGAUGCUGAAAUUUCUGUUCUGCUAGCCCUUGUAAAAGUGGGUUUCUUGAUCAAUGCGUGCUCCCAAUGCUGAAGGAAAAGAUUUGUGUUUAAGAAAAGAAGUACAUGCUGAAAUUUGAGUGUGAAAGAUUAGAACAUAGAGGGUCUCUACAGUGUUUUUCUGCCACACUAGGAUGUCAAAUCUAUUUAUAGAGACUCUGAUUACAACAGAAAUUUUAAAACGAAAUUUUCCACAUAAGUAUUUUGUAGGAAAGCUCUUAUAAUCAAUGCUUAAGCUGCUUUUUGAGGCUUUUCUUGUACAGAGGUUGCAGCCAAUUACAUUUUAAUUGGUAGGCUGCUGAAUAAUGUUUUUGUACGUUUUAAAAUAAUAUUUAUUUUAAUAGGUUUUUUAACAUUAUGCAAACCCCAAUAAAGAACUGACACGCUGCACAGGCCAUUGACUGGGAAAUUUUGUGAAACACAGCCUAAAUACACAGUUUUUACACCAACUAAUUUGUCUUGCCUUUAAAACUGAUUAUAACUCUUUAAGUACAACUUUUAUAAAGAAAAAACACAACACUAAGACUGUAUGUUCUAUAAAUUACAGUGUAAUGACCCAUGCAGAACCACUGUCUGAAGCUUCCUCAGUGAUGCAUAGCCAUCUCUCCAGCCAUGUUGUAUCAAAUUGCACACUAAAAAGAAAGGGAAAUACUACAAUGAAAAACCAAAAGUUGGCCGGGCGCGGUGGCUCAAGCCUGUAAUCCCAGCACUUUGGGAGGCCGAGACGGGUGGAUCACGAGGUCAGGAAAUCGAGACCAUCCUGGCUAACACGGUGAAACCCGGUCUCUACUAAAAAAUACAAAAAACUAGCCGGGCCCAGUGGCGGGUGCCUGCAGUCCCAGCUACUCAGGAGGCUGAGGCAGGAGAAUGGCGGGAACCCGGGAGGCGGAGCUUGCAGUGAGCUGAGAUCCGGCCACUGCACUCCAGCCCGGGCGGCAGAGCGAGACUCCGUCUCAAAAAAAAAAAACAAAAGUUACAGAGCAACAUAAGUAAAAUGACUAACCAGUUUCCUAGUAACAUGUUUGAAAUGGAAAAGGUGACUGACUGCCUUUCACUAGAGUCUUAGCUGUUUCAUGUUCACUAUUUUAGGUUAAUUUUCUUGGGAAAUCAAUUUGAAUAUUCCUCCCUGUCCUUUUGCAUUAUAGGACAAAAAUAUAUGUUCAGAGUUUGACAGACUUAAAUAUGCCUCUUUCCCAAUUUUAAGUAUUUUUGGUUCUGCGUGCAUAGAUUUAUCAAUGAAGUACAUUUGCCUCUGACUUUAUCACAAGGAAAAAGGAAUCAAACAUUGAACACAAAUGUGUUCCAAACCAGUCUUGUCCAUCUUGUCACUUUUAUGUGACUGCUCCUUUGAACCAGAAGGGGCAUGAUAGAAGGCAAUAGGAAUUAAAGUAAAAAUCAUUCAGGGGAAGUGAGAAAUUCUACCAUAUACAGAGUGAAAAUGUGUGAUUUCAUUCCUGCCUUCCUUUAAACCUUGUGUCUUGAUCUCUGCCUAGUAGUAGUUAAGCCCACAGUCGCCCAAACAUGAGGAGAGACCCAACUCCAGCAGCCAGAAUUUAGUAUUUACAUUUGCCUUCCCAAGUUGAGAAUAGAAUGUGGUGUUCUGUACUUUCUGUUUUUAUUAUUCUGAAAUAUUUUUUUAAAGAAGUGUUAUUUUUCAACAGAUUCAUAAAUUAGUUCCUGAUGUAUGGGAAAUUAAAACUCCCACUGUGUCAAACUGAUAUGCUAAUUUCAUAACCACUCAUUUCUAGUCCGUCAGAGCUGUACUGGUGGCUUAUUGCUGGGUUUUAAAGGUGUUUUUAACUUACAUAUAAGUGUUUUUUUUUUCUAAUUUGUGUGUCUUUACAACUGAUUAAACAGUAGUUUAAAAAUA